rnacentral:rRNA from 1 species
GGCGGCCGCGGGAAUUCGAUUUACCGCGGCUGCUGGCACGGAGUUAGCCGAGCUUAUUCUCCCGGUACUGUCAUUAUCAUCCCGGGUAAAAGAGCUUUACAACCCUAAGGCCUUCAUCACUCACGCGGCAUUGCUGGAUCAGGCUUUCGCCCAUUGUCCAAUAUUCCCCACUGCUGCCUCCCGUAGGAGUCUGGGCCGUGUCUCAGUCCCAGUGUGGCUGAUCAUCCUCUCAGACCAGCUAAGGAUCGUCGCCUUGGUGCGCCUUUACCACACCAACUAGCUAAUCCUACGCGGGCUCAUCCCUCGGCGAUAAAUCUUUGGACUUACGUCGUCAUCCGGUAUUAGCAGUCAUUUCUAACUGUUAUUCCGAACCAAGGGGCAGAUUCCCACGCGUUACGCACCCGUGCGCCACUAAGGCCGAAGCCUUCGUUCGACUUGCAUGUAUUAGGCAUGCCGCCAGCGUUCGUUCUGAGCCAUGAUCAAACUCUAAUCACUAGUGAAUUCGCGGCCGCCUGCAGGUCGACCAUAUGGGAGAGC